rnacentral:rRNA from 1 species
UGGCGAACGGGUGAGUAAUACGUGGGUGAUCUGCCCUGCACUUUGGGAUAAGCCUGGGAAACUGGGUCUAAUACCAGAUAGGACCAUGCUUUGGAUGGUGUGGUGGAAAGUUUUUUCGGUGUGGGAUGAGCUUGCGGCCUAUCAGCUUGUUGGUGGGGUAAUGGCCUACCAAGGCGUCGACGGGUAGCCGGCCUGAGAGGGUGUACGGCCACAUUGGGACUGAGAUACGGCCCAG